UCCUACAGGUUUAACUCCAAUAGGUAACUCAACAAGAUCCUAUACCUUAUUGUGGUUCAUGAAUUCAAUCUCAUCCUUCAUGGCAUUGUACCAUUCCGUAUAAUUAUUACUAUUUAUGGCUUCGGAAAAACUAAGAGGAUCAUCUAAACUCUGACCAUUCUCAUAAAGAUAGACAAUAUAAUCACUGGAUAUAGCCGGUCUUCUCUGUCUUGAGGAUCUUCUUAAAUCUAUCUGAUUAUUCACAUGUAUAUCUUGAUGUGGAUUAUUCACUUGUACAUCUUG
rnacentral:lncRNA from 1 species